AGGACGAACGCUGGCGGCGUGCCUAAUACAUGCAAGUCGAACGAACUGUGGAAAGCUUGCUUUCAGAGUUAGUGGCGAACGGGCGAGUAACACGUAAGUAACCUAGCUAUUAGACGAGGAUAACUACUGGAAACGGUAGCUAAGACUGGAUAUGAUAGAAAUAUUUAAAGGAUGCUAAGGCAUCGCUAAUAGAGGGGCUUGCGGCGCAUUAGCUAGUUGGUAGGGUAAAAGCCAACCAAGGCGAUGAUGCGUAGCCGACCUGAGAGGGUGACCGGCCACACUGGGACUGAGACACGGCCCAGACUCCUACGGGAGGCAGCAGUAGGGAAUCUUCGGCAAUGGACGGAAGUCUGACCGAGCAACGCCGCGUGAAGUGAAGGAAGUUUUCGGAUUGUAAAGCUCUGUUAUUAGGGAAGAAAGGCUCUAGGAGGAAAUGCUUAGGGAUUGACGGUACCUAAUGAGGAAGCCACGGCUAACUACGUGCCAGCAGCUGC
rnacentral:rRNA from 1 species